UACUGUCUAUGAUGAAUGUUAAAACAAUGGGAAUCUCUCUGAAUAAGAGUGAAAGAGAUAUUUUGUACUGAGACAGUA